rnacentral:lncRNA from 1 species
UCAUGAGUCACCUGUUUUAUUAUUGUUUAAAAUUAAUUAAGGUUUAAUAUUAAUAAAGAAAAUUGGUACUAUCAUCCUAAGAAUAUUUCUUGUAUUUUUUAAUGAAUCCAUUCAAUAAUGCAUCAGAUCUGAGGCUUUGAGGGCUGAUUUUUGAUCCAGAAAGUAGUCAGUUCCACAGUUCUCUUCUGAAGGCUCAAGUUUCUUUCUUUCUUUCUUUCUUUCUUUCUUUCUUUCUUUCUUUCUUUCUUUCUUUUUUUCUUUCUUUCUUUCUUUCUUUCUUUCUUUUUUUCUUUCUUUCUUUCUUUCUUUCUUUCUUUCUUUCUUUCUUUCUUUCUUUCUUUCUUUCUUUCUUUCUUUCUUUCUUUCUUUCUUUCUUUNNNNNNNNNNNNNNNNNNNNNNNNNAUUCUUUUAUAUUUCUUUCCCUUCCUUUAUACUUUCCUUUCCCUUAUACUUUCCUUUCCAUUCCUAUUUUAAACUUACCCAUUCCUUUCAUUUAUACUUUCUUAUCCUUUCCAAUAUACUUACCUUUGCUUCCUUUCUUUUAUACUUUCCCUUCCCUAUAUACUUUCCUUUUCUUUUAUACUUUCCUUUCCUUUAUACUUUCCAUUCCCUUAUACUUUCCUUUCCAUUCCUAUUUUAAAAUUACCCAUUCCUUUCAUUUAUACUUUCUUAUCCUUUCCAAUAUACUUCCCUAUCCUUACAAUUCUACAUACAUUGACUUUCCUUUAUACUUUGCUUUCCUUUCCAUUAUAUCUACCUUUUCCUUUCUUUUCUAUUCCCUUCCUUUCCCUUCCUUUAUACUUACCUCUGGCUUCCUUUCUUUAUACUUUCCCUUCCUUUAUACUUUCCUUUUCUUUAUACUUUCCAUUAUACUUUCCUUUCUUUUGUACCUUCCUUUCCUUUACACUUUCCUUUCCUUAGCAUACCUUUAUACUUUCCUUUCAUUUUCUUUUCCUUUUCCUUCCCCCCCCCUUUUUUCUUCUUUUCUCUUUACUUUUUCUUUUUUUUCUACUUAUUUUUCUUGCCUUCUUUCCUUAUCCUUUGGCUUUUUCUUCCUCUUUUUGUUUUGUUUUUCUUCCCCAUUUUCUUUCCCUUCUCCUUUUUCGAUUCUUUUUCUUCCCAAAUCUUCUUCUAUUUCUCCCUGUUUUCUUUCCCUCGUCUUUCUUCCCCUUUUAUCUUUUACUUUCUCCGGUUUUAUGUUUUUUUUUCCCUAUUUCUUUUUCUUUACCCUUUUCUUCCCUAUCUUCAUUUUAUUUUUCUUCUUUCUUGCUUUCUUUUUAAUUUUUUUCAGAUUUCUUUAACAUUUUUAUCUGUUCCACGUUUCAACAAUUACUUGUUUAUUUCUUCGCUUUUCUUCCUCAUUCGUCCCCACC